UACGUAGGGAGCAAGCGUUGUCCGGAAUCAUUGGGCGUAAAGAGCGUGUAGGCGGUUUGCUAAGUCUGGUGUGAAAUCUUUCGGCUCAACCGGAAGCGGUCACUGGAAACUGGCAGACUUGAAUCUGGAAGAGGAGUGUGGAAUUCCUGGUGUAGCGGUGGAAUGCGCAGAUAUCAGGAGGAACACCGGUGGCGAAGGCGGGUCUCUGGGCAGUAACUGACGCUGAGGAGCGAAAGCGUGGGGAGCGAACAGG
rnacentral:rRNA from 1 species